rnacentral:rRNA from 1 species
CGUAGGUGGCGAGCGUUGUCCGGAUUUACUGGGUGUAAGGGAGCGUAGGCGGGUAUGCAAGUUGAAUGUGAAAUCUAUCGGCUCAACUGAUAGGCUGCGUUCAAACUGUAUAUCUUGAGUGAAGUAGAGGUAGGCGGAAUUCCUAGUGUAGCGGUGAAAUGCGUAGAUAUUAGGAGGAACACCAGUGGCGAAGGCGGCCUACUGGGCUUUUACUGACGCUGAGGCUCGAAAGCGUGGGAGCAAACAGGAUU